CGCAAAGGCGGCGUUUUCAAAUGUAUCCACUCUGGGAUCCGAAAAAUUGAGGUUUCACUCUCCCAAAACGCCUGAUCCGUGUGGACGAAACGCCUAUCCUAUAUAUUUGCACAGAAAUGCGUUGCCGUGUGGACAGAGCCUAAAUUCCAGGGGUUUCAUUACCACGACGUAAAAUGGGCGUUUCUUGAGGUCUUGUUAAAACGCCCUCUUUCAAAAAAGAAAAAAAAGUAAAGAAGUCACCGAUCAUGUGCAGAAUGCUGUUUAUUUUUGCACGGGCAUUUCCAAUCCCAGGAUCAAGUCACAAAACUGUCAUACAGUUAUACUAAAUGAAUAUGAAGAAAAAGAUCACAGAGACGUCUGAUGACAGACACAAAAAAGCAGAAGGUGACACCGUGAUGUUUAUGGAAAGUGGAAGAUACAAAACAUGUCCCACUCUCUGUGAAAAUAAGUUUGAUACAUUCUUGUCAGCACGGAAAGAACUACAAGAAGACAACCACAACGGAUGAUUUGGGAGCUCCAAAAAAGCCACAGAAAGCCAGAGACAUAGUUUCAGAUUUGUUGAACAACAUGCUGCGGUGACAGCAACUCUCAUGGCUGACAGAAAUACCAGGCAUCUUGUGCUAAGAGGGUCAUACAUCUCUACACCUGAGGACACAUGUAGGGUGCUGAAGCCACUCAGAAUCUUGGAUAAAUCUCAGAGAAAUGCAUCACAAUCUCAUCCCUGAGGCCUGUCCUUCAGCAUCUGACUGAAUCCAUCCUGGCAGAAAAGGAUGAUGACAGCAGCCUGGUGAGGAACAUGAAACAUGCUAUCUGCAAGAACUUAAAAGAGCUGUAUGAGGAUUCUGAUAUGGCUAUUGUGAUUAACAUGGCCUGUGUACUUGACCCCUGCUUCAAGUUGAACUUCGUGGAAGAGGCAGAUUCAAUCAAAGGACAGCUAGAGCAACAGGUCAUGCAGGAGUCUUCUGCAAAAUGAAGGUAGCACUUCUAUUCUCUCACAGGAGUCUUCUUCCAGAGGAGAAUGUGAAGAUGAGGGGACCAGUGUCUCUGUCCCUGAGGCCCCAAAAGGCUUGUCUGGUAUUCUUAAAAUAAUAACAAUGAAAAAACAGGAGAAAAACCAAUCAGCAGACAUGGUGAAAUCUACACUAGCAUUUCAAGAAGUUUCUGUUUACACAUCCUUGCCCACUAUUGCUGUCGAAAAAGACCCACUUCAGUGGUGGAAGGAUAAUGAGGAGGAGUUUCCAAGGUUGGCAAAACUGGCACAGAAGAUCCUUUGCAUUCCCGCCACCAGUGUUGCAUCAGAAAGACUUUUCAGUUCUUCAGGGAACAUUAAGACAGUGUUUUGCUCCAGUUUGAAACCAGACAAACUUAAUAUGCUUGUCUUCCUUAACACAAAUUUGCCAUAGAUUGUGAAUGCAAUAAGGAAAAAUACAUUUGCAUUGUUUAUCAGUAUUCCUAAUGCUUUUUGGGUAAAAAAAAGAAGAGAAAAUGAGUUUAAUGACUGAGAAGGCAAUAAGUUAAAAUACAUGUGCCUUGUUUAUCAGUAUUCCUAAUGCUUGUUGGGUAAAAAAGAGAAAAUAAGUAAAAAUUAGUUUAAUGUCUGAGAAGGCUAUAAGUUAAAAUAUACAUGUGCCUUGUUUAUCAGUUAAAUGAGUUUAAUGGCUGAGAAGGCAAUAAGUUAAAAUACAUGUGCCUUGUUUAUCAGUAUUCCUAAUGCUUGUUGGGUAAAAAAGAAAUAAAUUAAGAACAAAUUAAUUUGACCCCUAUAUAUAUAUAUAUGUGUGUGUGAUGGAAUUCUGAAGUUUACUUUCCUUAAACCGUCUCUCCCUCUCUUCAGAGGAAGCUGAGAACACCUCCUCCUCACUCCUCCUUUAGAUUUAGUCCGAGAGCUUUCUGUCCCUCCAUUGAAAAUGUAUGUACGGUAUAAAGUCCAU